UAGAGUUUGAUCCUGGCUCAGGACGAACGCUGGCGGCGUGCCUAACACAUGCAAGUCGAGCGAUGAAGUUCCUUCGGGAAUGGAUUAGCGGCGGACGGGUGAGUAACACGUGGGCAACCUGCCUCAAAGUGGGGGAUAGCCUCCCGAAAGGGAGAUUAAUACCGCAUAACAUUAUCUCUUUGCAUGAAGAGAUAAUCAAAGGAGUAAUCCGCUUUGAGAUGGGCCCGCGGCGCAUUAGCUAGUUGGUGAGGUAACGGCUCACCAAGGCGACGAUGCGUAGCCGACCUGAGAGGGUGAUCGGCCACAUUGGAACUGAGAUACGGUCCAGACUCCUACGGGAGGCAGCAGUGGGGAAUAUUGCGCAAUGGGGGAAACCCUGACGCAGCAACGCCGCGUGAGUGAUGAAGGUCUUCGGAUUGUAAAACUCUGUCUUUGGGGACGAUAAUGACGGUACCCAAGGAGGAAGCCACGGCUAACUACGUGCCAGCAGCCACGGUAAUACGUAGGUGGCAAGCGUUGUCCGGAUUUACUGGGCGUAAAGAGUAUGUAGGCGGACAUUUAAGUCAGAUGUGAAAUCCCCGGGCUUAACCUGGGAGCUGCAUUUGAUACUGGGUGUCUAGAGUGUAGGAGAGGAAAGUGGAAUUCCUAGUGUAGCGGUGAAAUGCGUAGAGAUUAGGAAGAACACCAGUGGCGAAGGCGACUUUCUGGACUAUAACUGACGCUGAGAAACGAAAGCGUGGGGAGCAAACAGGAUUAGAUACCCUGGUAGNNNACGCCGUAAACGAUGAAUACUANGUGUCGGGGGGUACCACCCUCGGUGCCGCANNANNCGCAAUAAGUAUUCCGCCUGGGGGAGUACGGUCGCA
rnacentral:rRNA from 1 species